UGCAUAAAUUCCAGGUGUUUACCAUGUAAUUAGUUUGAGCUCAAAAGGGGGCGGUUUACCAAAAAACAACAAAAAAAAAACCCCAGCCAUCUUUGAUUUCUGUUCAUAAGCUGUGCCCUUCUCUUAACCUUGGGACACAGCUGAUGGACCUUCAGAUUCUAAGAAAAAGCAAAGACUAAAGUCCAACCGCUUAUGAUCUAGAAGACAAUUCUCAGCUCAAAAGAGUCAAAUAAAGCCCGUUAUGCUUCACUUCA